GGAUGUGUGGGCAAUCUGGCUGUGACAUCUGUCACCCCAUUGAUAGCUAGGGUUGAUUUGGCUAGCUAGGUGGGUGUCCCCUUUGUCCCUCACUGCUCCGUUUGCUUCCUUCCCAAAGCCAUGCAUUCAGUUGAAGAGGACGACCCUCCCCGCAUAGAGGAGGACCGGUGUUGGUCAAGGGUAUAUGAGUAGCUGAGCUCCCCUGCUAGAACCUACAAAGAAGCUCUCAAAGGCUGAUCAAGUUUUGGAGGUACCUCAUUGGCAACUUGAAUUUAAACCCAAACAGUAUGGGGAUGGUGUUCUAGCUCUGGACUUU
rnacentral:snRNA from 1 species